AGAUUCAAGACUCAAGAGUCGAGACUCAUGAGCUAAGCCCCAAGGACAAGAUGGGUUUUAGCAGCCGAGUGAACAUUGAAAUUGCGCCAAAACAACGUCCUCUCUUCGGGCGUUCUACUUGAAAUGGCCUUGGGAUAUCCAUCAAAACCCGAAUAAAACUUCUAAUCCCUGCGAGUUCAAAGUCCCCUGGCCUUUCAAGUCUCUGCAAACUCUCGGAUUUCUAGCUACAAUUCUCUUCAAUUCAGCUUAUAAUACUCCAAACCCCUCUUUCAAAUCCUUAAAGCACAUCCAUUUCGAUGUCGGAACCAAACACUUGCCUUCCAAUGUCGGCAUCGACGGGAAAAACACCAAUUCGUCGACGAAGAACAAGGAGAAGCUGAGCAUCGAGCCCUAGCUUGAGGCCUCGAAUUCUACUCUCCCAAGUGUGGACUUUGUAAUCUGUGCUUAAUCUCGUCAUGGAGAUAUAGAGACAAGGAAUUCGGAGUGGCUUAACAUUGUCGUAGCGGUUGCAGAGAUUGACAAAUGAUUACUUUAAGCUCCUCUAUUAUGACAUCUGUUAUGUGGCUUGUUUUGUGCUCCUAGACAAAUAUGGGAGAGCUUUGGCGAAAACAGGUGAAGGCAGGCUAUUGGUCCUAUGGUUAGAAGUGAAGUGAAGGGAAAUGAAAUUAUAAUAGCAAAAUAUAAACUUGUCUACUAAUGUUUGCCAACAAUGAUUUUGUAACUAAUUCAAAAAGUUACUUAGUAUGUAAGGCAUCACCAUGCCUAGUGAAGUAUAUUACUUCAUUAUUUGACACUUGGCAGUACGUGUGUUAGUCCAAGUGAUGGAGAAUCCCACAU